UGGCACCUUGAUGUCGGCUCAUCACAUCCUGGGGCUGUAGCCGGUCCCAAGGGUUUGGCUGUUCGCCAAUUAAAGUGGUACGUGAGCUGGGUUUAGAACGUCGUGAGACAGUUCGGUCCCUAUCUACCGUGGGCGUUGGAAAUUUGAGAGGAUCUGCUCCUAGUACGAGAGGACCAGAGUGGACUUACCGCUGGUGUACCAGUUGUCUUGCCAAAGGCAUCGCUGGGUAGCUAUGUAGGGAAGGGAUAAACGCUGAAAGCAUCUAAGUGUGAAACCCACCUCAAGAUGAGAUUUCCCAUGAUUUUAUAUCAGUAAGAGC
rnacentral:rRNA from 1 species